rnacentral:rRNA from 1 species
UGNAGUCCCUCNAGCGUUNCGCUCAUCAACCCUGUGAACAUACCUAAACGUUGCCUCGGCGGGAACAGACGGCCCCGUAACACGGGCCGCCCCCGCCAGAGGACCCCCUAACUCUGUUUCUAUAAUGUUUCUUCUGAGUAAACAAGCAAAUAAAUUAAAACUUUCAACAACGGAUCUCUUGGCUCUGGCAUCGAUGAAGAACGCAGCGAAAUGCGAUAAGUAAUGUGAAUUGCAGAAUUCAGUGAAUCAUCGAAUCUUUGAACGCACAUUGCGCCCGCCAGUAUUCUGGCGGGCAUGCCUGUUCGAGCGUCAUUACAACCCUCAGGCCCCCGGGCCUGGCGUUGGGGAUCGGCGGAAGCCCCCUGCGGGCACAACGCCGUCCCCCAAAUACAGUGGCGGUCCCGCCGCAGCUUCCAUUGCGUAGUAGCUAACACCUCGCAACUGGAGAGCGGCGCGGCCACGCCGUAAAACACCCAACUUCUGAAUGUUGACCUCGAAUCAGGUAGGAAUACCCGCUGAACUUAAGCAUAUCAAUAAGCGGAAAAA